AUGCCUCGAGGUAAGACUACAUGAAAGAAGAAGAGAAAUAUUUUAAAUGCUGCUUAAGACCUGGACCAGGAUUGCACAUAGCCAUGAAUCCAAUUUUUAAAUACUUCCAUUAACUUUGAUAAUUACACCUAUGAAUUUAAAUUUUAAGUAUGUGCUUAAUUACUUAGUUCAGAUGAAAGUUGAAACAUUCAAAUGCAAAUGUCUUCUUUUUACAAUUUGAGGUCAAAUGUUUCCAAAAAUUGUAAUAAGAAAAAUAUUAUGUUUUACUUGCUCUCUAAAGAAGGAACUUUUUGAGCUCCAUUGAGCUCCCACUGCAUAAUAAGCAGAUGGCUAAAGGAAACUCUUCAUUUAUAGUGUGUGGAGGAGGGGAUUUGGGCAUAUGCCAUGGCUGUUGGGCCAGCAGGAUGAGGAUACACAAACUAAUCCCUACUGCUCUACCCUAAACCCUGGAUUAGGCCAGAACAGCAGACAAAGCUUCUGUAAUACUGGCCUGCAGAGCCCUGUGGUCUAUUAAGGAUUCUGGCAUCUGCACCCAUUUCAAAAUACCUGUGCAGGAAGGACAUGAAAUAUAUCCAAGAUGCUGUUCUGCCUGCUUCUCAGUCUCCCAAAAUAUGGCAUUAGAGAACAUUUAUGUUAAAAUGCAUUUGCUACAACUUCACGCAAUCUUGUUAGGAGCUGUCGCUAGCUAUGCAAUUAAGUGAAUUUUAAGUAGAGUCAUCUCAAGGGGGAUCUACUGCAUGGAAUUAUGCAUUAGGUUCUGUAUAGUGCUAUCUGAUAGUAGAGCAGAAGAAAUUGAUCACAUUGACAGCUGAAGUAAAGGAGAAAUUAUCUAUUAAUAAUUUAUUAGUGUUUGCAGAAUAGUCCUCCUAAUACUUAGAUGAGCAAGAAGAAAAAAAAAAUAGAUUUGAUAAGUGUUAAUAUAAGGACAUCCUCACAGGAUAUAGAAAUCAAAUAUGUAUGCUACUAAAUUGGAAAAAGUGUCUAGUAUAGUAGUGCUGUGAAAGAAUUAAAAUACGUUUAAAAAUUAAUAUAUGUAGGCAUAAUUGAUGUUGUAUUGAAUGAGCGAAUUAGUGAAUGCUUUAAGAAUUAAAAAUUGGCUUUGGAAUUUAAAAAUAUCAUUUGUAAGACAAACAGAAUUUUAUUUUCUUUUCCCCUAGUGCAAUCGGAUCACUGUAAAAAUACUUCCUGCAAUCUGGGGAAUCCACUGUAAAAGAAAGAUGGAGAAAUGGAUUGGGGCUGCCUGAAGAAGUGAAAUCAUCUUGCCUAACACACAUUCUGGACGCAAAAUGGAUUCUGCAGUGGAACACUUGAAAGAGGAGAGUUUACACUUUCUUAUCAUUUCUGGUUUGGCUUUCUCUGAUUUAUGGCUGCUACUAGCAAAUUCUAAGAAGCUGUUCCAGAAACUUGGGUUAUUGUGACAUUUUCUGUUUGAGCUCUCAACCCUGGUGACUGGGGAAAAAUGAGUUGUUUUGACCACAAAGUUAAAAGAAGCUUUCAGGAUAUCAUAGAAUUAAUAUGACAAAUUUUCUCUGCUAGCCAUUUUUUAGCAUGAGGCAUAAGCAAACAUUUGAAUUAGUUAUUUAUGUUCAAAAGAGUUUAAUGUUUUCUUUUAGAAAAGGUCCCACUGCAGAGCAUAAUUGUGCUCAAAUGCUAUAUUAAAACUAUCGUAAAUUAUAGCUACUAUUGUAAAUUAUAGCUUGGGACACUGUUAUAUGAUUUGGGCAUUUAUAAUAAUUCGAUUUCUCUGUGAAAUCUGAACUGAUAAUUAGGAAAAAGGACAGCAACACUCCCACUGAUGGAAAGAAGGUUGUACCUGUAAGGAAGUUAAUUUGCAGUUAGCAAGGUAAGCAUUGAUCAGUAUAGUAGCCACUUUUGCCUAUUUCCCGGUGUGUAUGCUUCCUUAGUAUGCAAUAAGGCUGCCUACACCGAGACUUAAAGCAAAAGAACUCAUACAGUGUGAAGCAGACUCCUAUGUUUAGCACUGUAUUUACUGAGAUAAACUAUUUCAUAGAGUCUUCUAUGCAAGUUGGCUGUUCCUCAGGGUUGCUCAGAGUCCUGUCCAAUCUGGACAUGAAUGUUUCCAACAGUGUUUAACCGCCCUCCUUUUAAAAUAUUUUUUCCUUAUAUUUAGUCUGAAUGUAUUCUCUUUUAGUUUGAAAUCAUUGCCCCUUGUCCUAUUGCUACAUACCCUAUUAAAAAGCUUGUUUCUAUCUUUCUUGUAAUUCCCUUCAGAUACUGAAAGUUGGAAAUAAAGUCUUCCCGGAACCUUCUCCAGGCUCAACAGUCCCAACUGUCUCAGCUUUUCCUCAUAGGAGAGAUGUUCCAGCCCUCUGAUCAUCUCUGUGGCCCUACUCUGGACUCACUCCAACAGGCCCAUGUCCUUCCUGAGCUGGGGACCCUGGAGCUGGACAGUCCUCCGGAAACAACCAGGAUUUUUUUUCCUUCAUGAAGCUUCGGAUGACAUCAUUUAUUGAGCUCAUCUGCAGGGAGAAGUGAAGUGACAACACAAUGUAGUUAUUCUACCAAUCUGUCCUUUGUGUCUUUUAUAGAUGUUUGAAGCUGUUACUUUUUUCUGAAGUCUGUAUACUAAUGCAGCAGGACUUUUUCACUUAAAAAUUAAAUACAAUAUCAGUAUUUUGUGUGGAGUCUGUAAGUUGCAUAGAUCACAAAUGCUGGAACAAAUGGGGUAAAGAAACAGUUGACUUUGUCCAGCUGACAUAAGGAAUAAAUUUAAUUUCUCAGUGUGAUUGUACACA